UAAAGGCUGGUGGAAGAUAUGUUGCCUGCAUGGCCAUGAGGAACUGCUAGCAGAGGUUUACAACAUCAUCGAGUUAAGGAUUCUCACAGUAGAUGGCAAUGGAGAAAUACAGUUAAAAUACCUUUCUGGAGAGGAAAAAGAAGACCAACAAGGAGUGUUUUAUGCUCUGGUUUGAAGUUCUGCUCUCCUGGAGAUAGUUUCCAG